UACAGAGGUGCCAAGCGUUAGGCGGAAUCACUGGGCUUAAAGCGCGUGUAGGCGGGUCGUUAAGUGUCUUGUGAAAUCCCACGGCUCACCCGUGGAACUGCUGGGCAUACUGGGCGUCUUGGGCCAACUAGGGGCAGCCGGAACAAGCGGUGUAGCGGUGAAAUGCGUAGAUAUCGUAAGGAAGACCAGUGGCGAAGGCGGGUCUCUGGACAGUUCCUGACGCUGAGGCACGAAGGUCAGGGGAGCAAACGGG
rnacentral:rRNA from 1 species